rnacentral:rRNA from 1 species
GACGUAGGAGGCGAGCGUUGUCCGGAUUUACUGGGCGUAAAGCGCGCGCAGGCGGUCACGCAGGUCAUCUGUGAAAGCACCCGGCUCAACCGGGAUGAUGCGGGUGAAACCGCGUGACUUGAGGGCGGUAGAGGGUGGUGGAAUUCCCGGUGUAGUGGUGAAAUGCGUAGAUAUCGGGAGGAACACCCGUAGCGAAGGCGGCCACCUGGGCCGACCCUGACGCUGAGGCGCGAAGGCCAGGGGAGCGAACGGG